AACAGGGAUUGCCUUAGUAACGGCGAGUGAAGCGGCAACAGCUCAAAUUUGAAAGCUGGCCCUUUUAGGGUCCGCGUUGUAAUUUGUAGAGGAUGAUUCGGCGAGGGCUCCCGCCUAAGUCCCCUGGAACGGGGCGUCAUAGAGGGUGAGAAUCCCGUAUGCGGUGGGCUGCCUUAGCCAUGUGAAUCUCCUUCGACGAGUCGAGUUGUUUGGGAAUGCAGCUCUAAAUGGGAGGUAAAUUUCUUCUAAAGCUAAAUACCGGCCAGAGACCGAUAGCGCACAAGUAGAGUGAUCGAAAGAUGAAAAGCACUUUGGAAAGAGAGUUAAAAAGUACGUGAAAUUGUUGAAAGGGAAGCGCUUGCAACCAGACUUGUCCGCAGUUGCUCAGCCGGUCUCCUGACCGGCGUACUCUUCUGCGGCCAGGCCAGCAUCAGUUCGGGCGGUCGGAUAAAGACCUCGGGAAUGUAGCUCCUCUCGGGGAGUGUUAUAGCCCGGGGUGGAAUGCGGCCAGCCUGGACUGAGGAUCUCGCUUCGGCAAGGAUGCUGGCGUAAUGGUUGUAAGCGGCCCGUCUUGAAACACGGACCAAGGAGUCUAACAUCUAUGCGAGUGUUUGGGUGUCAAACCCAUACGCGUAAUGAAAGUGAACGGAGGUGGGAACCCGCAAGGGCGCACCAUCGGCCGAUCCUGAUGUCUUCGGAUGGAUUUGAGCAAGAGCAUAGCUGUUGGGACCCGAAAGAUGGUGAACUAUGCCUGAAUAGGGUGAAGCCAGAGGAAACUCUGGUGGAGGCUCGCAGCGGUUCUGACGUGCAAAUCGAUCGUCAAAUUUGGGUAUAGGGGCGAAAGACUAAUCGAACCAUCUAGUAGCUGGUUCCUGCCGAAGUUU
rnacentral:rRNA from 1 species